rnacentral:rRNA from 1 species
GCAACUCGGCUGCAUGAAGCCGGAAUCGCUAGUAAUCGCGGAUCAGAACGCCGCGGUGAAUACGUUCCCGGGUCUUGUACACACCGCCCGUCACACCAUGGGAGUCGGGAACGCCCGAAGUCGGUGCCCCAACCGUAAGGAGGGAGCCGCCGAAGGCGGGCCCGGCGACUGGGGUGAAGUCGUAACAAGGUACC